AGAUCCGUCUGCUUUUCCAAUCAAAUUGAAUGAUAAACUCCUAUAUUUGUCCUUAGAUUUCAAUCAACUCACGAGCCUUCCUUAUUAUGUAUUUGACAAACUAACAAACCUUAAAACACUGUCCUUAUCAUUCAAUCAACUCACGACCCUUCCUGAUAAUGUGUUUGACAAACUAAUAAACCUUAACUCACUG